GAUGAACGCUGACAGAAUGCUUAACACAUGCAAGUCAACUUGAAUUUGGGUUUUUAACUUAGGUUUGGGUGGCGGACGGGUGAGUAACGCGUAAAGAACUUGCCUCACAGCUAGGGACAACAUUUGGAAACGAAUGCUAAUACCUAAUAUUAUGAUAAUAGGGCAUCCUAUAAUUAUGAAAGCUAUAAGCGCUGUGAGAGAGCUUUGCGUCCCAUUAGCUAGUUGGAGAGGUAACGGCUCACCAAGGCGAUGAUGGGUAGCCGGCCUGAGAGGGUGAUCGGCCACAAGGGGACUGAGACACGGCCCUUACUCCUACGGGAGGCAGCAGUGGGGAAUAUUGGACAAUGGACUGAGAGUCUGAUCCAGCAAUUCUGUGUGCACGAUGAAGUUUUUCGGAAUGUAAAGUGCUUUCAGUUGGGAAGAAACAAAUGACGGUACCAACAGAAGAAGUGACGGCUAAAUACGUG
rnacentral:rRNA from 1 species